rnacentral:rRNA from 1 species
GACGAACGCUGGCGGCGUGCUUAACACAUGCAAGUCGAACGGAAAGGCCCUGCUUUUGUGGGGUGCUCGAGUGGCGAACAGGUGAGUAACACGUGAGUAACCUGCCCUUGACUUUGGGAUAACUUCGGGAAACUGGGGCUAAUACCGGAUAGGAGCUCCUGCUGCAUGGUGGGGGUUGGAAAGUUUCGGCGGUUGGGGAUGGACUCGCGGCUUAUCAGCUUGUUGGUGGGGUAGUGGCUUACCAAGGCUUUGACGGGUAGCCGGCCUGAGAGGGUGACCGGCCACAUUGGGACUGAGAUACGGCCCAGACUCCUACGGGAGGCAGCAGUGGGGAAUAUUGCACAAUGGGCGGAAGCCUGAUGCAGCAACGCCGCGUGCGGGAUGACGGCCUUCGGGUUGUAAACCGCUUUCGCCUGUGACGAAGCGUGAGUGACGGUAAUGGGUAAAGAAGCACCGGCUAACUACGUG